GAUGAACGCUGGCGGCGUGCCUAAUACAUGCAAGUCGAGCGAAUGACGAGGAGCUUGCUCCUCUGAUUUAGCGGCGGACGGGUGAGUAACACGUGGGUAACCUGCCUGUAAGACGGGGAUAACUCCGGGAAACCGGAGCUAAUACCGGAUGAUAACGAGAAGCGCCUGCUUCUUUUUUGAAAGUCGGUUUCGGCUGACGCUUACAGAUGGGCCCGCGGCGCAUUAGCGAGUUGGUGAGGUAACGGCUCACCAAGGCGACGAUGCGUAGCCGACCGGGGAGGGUGAUCGGCCACACGGGGACUGAGACACGGCCCAGACUCCGACGGGAGGCAGCAGUAGGGAAUCUUCGGCAAUGGACGAAAGUCUGACCGAGCAACGCCGCGUGAGCGAUGAAGGCCUUCGGGUCGUAAAGCUCUGUUGUCAGAGAAGAACAAGUACCGGAGUAACUGCCGGUACCUUGACGGUACCUGACCAGAAAGCCACGGCUAACUACGUGCCAGCCGCCGCCGUAACAC
rnacentral:rRNA from 1 species